rnacentral:lncRNA from 1 species
AGUGCCAAGCAUCUGGGGUCUGUGGGCUCCCUGGUCCACUUGCUCAGCCCCCUGUGAUGGAGGCAUCCAGACACGUGGGCGCAGCUGCUCCAGCUUGGCUCCAGGGGACACCACGUGCCCAGGACCCCACAGUCAGACCAGGGACUGCAACACGCAGCCCUGCACAGCCCAGUGCCCAGAGAACAUGUUGUUCCGCUCAGCAGAGCAGUGUCACCAGGAGGGGGGUCCUUGCCCUCGGCUAUGCCUGACGCAGGGCCCCGGGAUAGAUAGAGUGUACGGGCUUCUGCGCCCCCGGCUGCACCUGCCCCCCUGGUCUUUUCCUGCACAAUGCUAGCUGCCUGCCCCGCAGCCAGUGCCCCUGCCAGCUGCACGGGCAGCUCUAUGCAUCAGGAGCAAUGGCUCGCCUGGACUCCUGCAACAACUGCACCUGUGUCUCUGGUAAGAUGGCAUGCACCUCGGAGCGCUGCCCAGGUA